CAGUGUCCUUUCCUGGAACUGCCCCUUGGCAUGAACUCCUGUAGGUGUUCCGUGGGCAGCUGGGUAUAUAGUUCGGCGGCAGAAUGCUUGCCUAGCAUGCACAACGCCUUGAGUUCUGUUCCCAGGGCUGCGUAUACCAGGUGUGGUGAUGCACAGCUGUGGCCCCAGCUGGGGAAGCCAAAGAAGAAUUUCAAGGUCAUCAAUUGCUACAUCACAAGCUUAACCUGGCUUGAUUCAUCAACAAGCCAAUGGCUCAUGGAAUGGCGUUGCUGGCCCCUAAGUGAUCACAAGACGAGCAGGCUGGAAUGUCUAGAAAGAGAGGAAACAGCUGACAGAGUUCCCGCUUUGACGUCCUGCCCUGAUUUUCCUCACGGAUGACUGCGACCUGGAGCUGUGACCUGCGGGGUGCAUGCAGGAGCAGCCGGACUCUCUUCCUCAGUGUGGUACCUUAUCCUCCAGUAAACACUUCCUCUCUAGAAUUAGUGAGUGAGGCCAGCAAGAGAAAGACAUCUUUGGACAAGCGAUUUUCAAUUUUUCCCCUCUGCUUCACAUUCACCAAUGCCCAAGGCACUAAUUCAAGAGCAGGAGGAAGGUUUCGUCUUGGUGAAGUAUCUGCCUCACAGGAGUAGGGAAGGAAGGAAGGAAGGACACUUGCAUGUCUCUGGGGUGUAUCACAAUGUCUCCUCCACUCAGCUGACCUGGCGUUCACGACUGCCCGAUGAUGGGCCCUCGUUCCCACUCUGUGGAUGGAGACGGGAAUAGGGAGAAGACAACAGAAGCCCACAUUGUUUUAGCAGAAGACAAGGGCAGAGCUGGGCUCUGGCUCUGUGUGGCUUGGCCGGUCGCUAACAGGUUACUAAUCUGAAUUCAAACCUUAAUUUAAAAAAAAAAUGUGUCUAGCUAGGCGGCAGCCUUCAGCCUGUGUUUAUUAAAUAUUUUGAAAAUAUUUUGCAAAGAUUAUUUUCAUUUCAAGUUCAGUGAAACCUCAGGCCCCAGAUGUGGUCAUCCAGAUUCUCUCCUCAACUCUAAAGCUCUGAUGCUCUUUAUGGAAACAAAGCACUUCAGUGAAGAGGAGACAUCUUCUUUACUGAAGCCAGGAAAUUCUGCCUCUACUUCAACCCUUGGGAGAGGCUGACUUAGAACCUAGGGUCUCAACGCCCAGUUCUAGUUCUCCUUUCCCCACGCAGGGGAGAGUCAAGUCACAUCCAGGGAGGGAACACGUUUCAUGGAUAUGGUCUCCAGGACUAAGAAGAUGGCUCAGGAAAACGCUUACUUUUCUGGGAGGAAGACAGAGUUCGUUUCUAAAACCCAGGUAGAAAAAGCAAUGCAUGGUGGCUGUGGUGGUUUGUAUGUG
rnacentral:sRNA from 1 species